GAUGAACGCUGGCGGCGUGCCUAAUACAUGCAAGUCGAGCGAACAGACGAGGAGCUUGCUCCUCUGAUGUUAGCGGCGGACGGGUGAGUAACACGUGGAUAACCUACCUAUAAGACUGGGAUAACUUCGGGAAACCGGAGCUAAUACCGGAUAACAUGUUGAACCGCAUGGUUCAACAGUGAAAGACGGUCUUGCUGUCACUUAUAGAUGGAUCCGCGCCGCAUUAGCUAGUUGGUAAGGUAACGGCUUACCAAGGCAACGAUGCGUAGCCGACCUGAGAGGGUGAUCGGCCACACUGGAACUGAGACACGGUCCAGACUCCUACGGGAGGCAGCAGUAGGGAAUCUUCCGCAAUGGGCGAAAGCCUGACGGAGCAACGCCGCGUGAGUGAAGAAGGUCUUCGGAUCGUAAAACUCUGUUAUUAGGGAAGAACAAAUGUGUAAGUAACUAUGCACGUCUUGACGGUACCUAAUCAGAAAGCCACGGCCAACUACGUG
rnacentral:rRNA from 1 species